CGGGAGGGGGACCCUGAGGGUGGGGGCACCCCCAGGGCACUAUAGUGCCAGGAAAACGAGAAUGUUUUCCUGGCACUAUAGUGGUCCUUUAAGCGUACCAAACUAUGUUGUAUGUAAAACUAGCCUUGAAUGUCUACCACUAACCAUAAAUUGCUGAUGUCUCAUAGCUGUUAAACGUUACUUAUUCUAUUGCAUUUAAUCUUGACACAAAUAUUGUUUAACCAAGCCUGAAUUCAACACACAAUGAACUCUCUUCAUAUAAGAAUGUUCAAUCU